GCCUCUAUAGCUCAGUGGUAGAGCACUGGUCUCGUAAACCAGAGGUCGUGAGUUCAAUCCUCACUGAAGGCA
rfam:Ciona intestinalis ciona0014, whole genome shotgun sequence.